GACCAAGGAGUCUAACAUGUGCGCGAGUCGCUGGGAGCUCUCGCUAAACCCGGAGGCGCAGUGAAAGCGGGCGUGCGGUCCUUCGUGGACCGCCGUCGGGAGGAUGCCGUGCGGAGAUCCCGCUCGGCCGCACUCCCGGGGCGCYUCGGCCUCUCGGCCGCAGGCGCACUCGGAGCGCACACGUUGGGACCCGAAAGAUGGUGAACUAUGCCUGGUCAGGACGAAGUCAGGGGAAACCCUGAUGGAGGUCCGCAGCGAUUCUGACGUGCAAAUCGAUCGUCAGAGCUGGGUAUAGGGGCGAAAGACUAAUCGAACCAUCUA
rnacentral:rRNA from 1 species